UACCAGCACCCCGAGUGGUCGGGACGUUUUAUUGGGCCUAAAGCAUCCGUAGCCGGUUCUACAAGUCUUCCGUUAAAUCCAACUGCUUAACAGGUGGGCUGCGGAAGAUACUAUAGAGCUAGGAGGCGGGAGAGGCAAGCGGUACUCGAUGGGUAGGGGUAAAAUCCGUUGAUCCAUUGAAGACCACCAGUGGCGAAGGCGGCUUGC
rnacentral:rRNA from 1 species